UACAGAGGGUGCGAGCGUUAAUCGGAAUUACUGGGCGUAAAGCGCACGUAGGCGGCUUGGUAUGUCGGGUGUGAAAUCCCCGGGCUCAACCUGGGAACUGCAUCCGAAACUGCCUUGCUCGAGUAUGGGAGAGGGAAGUGGAAUUUCCGGUGUAGCGGUGAAAUGCGUAGAUAUCGGAAGGAACAUCAGUGGCGAAGGCGACUUCCUGGACCAAUACUGACGCUCAGGUGCGAAAGCGUGGG
rnacentral:rRNA from 1 species